rnacentral:rRNA from 1 species
CCAGACUCCUACGGGAGGCAGCAGUGGGGGAUAUUGCACAAUGGGGGGAACCCUGAUGCAGCGACGCCGCGUGGGUGAAGGAGCGUUUCGGCGCGUAAAGCCCUAUCGGCAGGGAAGAAGAUGACGGUACCUGACCAAGAAGCCCCGGCUAACUACGUGCCAGCAGCCGCGGUAAUACGUAGGGGGCAAGCGUUAUCCGGAUUUACUGGGUGUAAAGGGGGCGCAGACGGCAAUGCAAGCCAGGAGUGAAAGCCCGGGGCCCAACCCCGGGACUGCUUUUGAAACUGUACAGCUUGAUUGCAGGAGAGGCAAGUGGAAUUCCUAGUGUAGCGGUGAAAUGCGUAGAUAUUAGGAGGAACACCAGUGGCGAAGGCGGCUUGCUGGACUGUAAAUGACGCUGAGGCUCGAAAGCGUGGGGAGCAAACAGGAUUAGAUACCCCAGUA